AUGCCAGAUUUCAUAGCUUGGAAUUUCACAAAAAAUGGGAUUUUUUUGGUUCGGUCUGCUUAUUUUGUGGAAUGGGACCACCAAUAUGGGAACAAGUUACGACAUACCAAUGGGAUGAGACGUACCACGGUCAAUCCUAUUUGGGCGAGGAUUUGGAAGCUUGCUUGUCCAGCAAAGGUUAAAAUAUUUAUUUGGCGUGCACUUCACGGCACUAUUCCGUGUCGUGUUAACUUAGCUAAUAGACAUGUGAAAGUCUCGCCUAAGUGUCCUGCCUGCUCAUCUGGGCCAGAAGACACAAAACAUUUGUUGUUUCUAUGUGACAGAGCAAAAGAAGUCUGGAGAAGACUAGGGAUGGACGAUAUUAUCGACAGAGCUUGUAAAAUAGACUAUGCGGGUGAGGCAAUCUUGGAAUAUUUACUUCCAUUACCAGAUUAG
rnacentral:rRNA from 1 species